CUCCUCGCCCCCCGGUCGGCUACCCCCAGAGGUUCUACUACGCCUCCUACCAGCCAGCUCAAUACGCUCCGUACUAGAGGAUCGUACUUGAGGCUCGACCGACCAAACAUCUGACGGACGCCGAGGUGAAGAAAACGAGAACAUCCUCGCGGGCGUCAGAUGGAAACGAAAAUAUCGACCCGUCUCGUCGCCGUCCUGGCGUUCGCUGGACACGACCCCUUCCGCUAGCGAUCAGCUCGGAGAGGGCCCAGGAACAGCCUGGCCGGCCCACGACGCGGGGGCUGCCAAGAGCUGGGAGACAUCACUAUAAGCGUGCCAUUAGAGAUAGUAAUAUUAAUAGUAAUAGCAAUAAUAAAUGGCUGCCCUGCGUCCACCGCCCCCGCAGCGUCCAGGGGCGCCGUCUAUGGCCGAUCUAUAGACAGAGAUCCGGCCGUCGACGGGCGGGGUUUUGAUAGACCGACCCCUCGGAGGGCGGCGGCCGGCGGUGGACGUGGCCAGGGGAAUACAACGGGAGAGACGUGGACUGUGUGUGAGUGUGUGCGUGGGUGUGCGAAUGUGUGCGUGCGUGCGAAGUGUAGUCCUACCGAGUGCUCCGCAAUGUGAUGCUAACGUAAUUUAUUCUGGUUGAAAUACAUUCCUGCGAGGUUCUGUGUUGGUGUGUUGUCUGCGCGUUCGGAGUCGUCUUAGGAUAGUAUCUCCUUGUUACUUGCUCUCGGGCUGACUGGCUUAGACGAGCAAUAACGAGCACUGUGCUCGAUGACAUGUACUUUUUGUAAACGAAAGACGUCGGAUAGAAUUAGAAACCAUUUGUUUUUACGUAGAAUUUGUGAAUGAAUAAAGUCUUUAUGGAAGAAAAAGUU